UUUGUCGCGGAAACCGGCGAGCUAAGGUUUUGAUAUUCGACGGGUGAUAUUUUUAUAUUUGGAAUAAGCGAGUACUGCGAGUAGUUUGAGGUGUGGAUUUCCAAUUUCUUGUUCCGGAAAUCCCUGGCUUGAAUAAAGUGAGAAUGACUUUCCUUUAUGUGUCUAGAGUUGCAGUAGCUAGAAUAAUGAACGGUGAUACCUUAGUAGUCGUUGGACUUAUUUAUGCUUUAUAUUUUAUAACGCUCAAACUCUGAUAUAAUAUGUAAUGUGUGAAUGCUGUGCGAAAGUCCGAGCGACUGCACUUGAAUAAAAUGCGGUGAACGCAUCUGCAAAGUGAAAUGCAGUUAAGUCCAUAGAGAAAUGGCCUGCAUAGUGAAAUGCAGUAAUUACCAUAGUAAGAUGGUAUGCA